GAGGUUUUUAGUACGUAGGCGUCGUGGAUGGCAAAUCGUGCAUGCUGCUACUAAGAAUCAUUAGUAUUUUUUGAAGAUUGUAUUCCUC
rfam:Glossina fuscipes fuscipes unplaced genomic scaffold Scaffold556, whole genome shotgun sequence.